rnacentral:rRNA from 1 species
CAAUAUAAGUGAUGGCGACCGGCGCACGGGUAAGUAACACGUAUCCAACCUGCCGAUAACUCGGGGAUAGCCUUUCGAAAGAAAGAUUAAUACCCGAUGGUAUAAUAAAGCCGCAUGGUUUAAUUAUUAAAGAAUUUCGGUUAUCGAUGGGGAUGCGUUCCAUUAGUUUGUUGGCGGGGUAACGGCCCACCAAGACUACGAUGGAUAGGGGUUCUGAGAGGAAGGUCCCCCACAUUGGAACUGAGACACGGUCCAA